GUUUGCUUUGCUCUCUUUUGUGGCCUCUCUGUUCCUUGUGUUUGUGUCUUGAAUAGUUUUUUCUUGGAUUGGUUUUUCCUUUUGGACUGUUGUUUCCUGGACUGCCAGCCAUCUUUGGUUUGCAUCGGUUUUCCUUUUGGGAAGGAGCCUGCCUUGAGCCCCAUUGUUAUGACAGAUGAACUGCUGCUGAGAGAACCGGAGAGCCUGUGUGGUUCCACUUGGUAUGCCAAGAUGUGCACUCAACACAGUGAUGCAAUUUCUCACCUCAUCCCUGGCUUAUGGAAGGAAAAUGCAUUCAGGUUUGCCUCCUGCAGGAGUUCCAGACUGAGGAAAGUCCUUUUUCUCACAGUUCCUUCACUCUCAUCAAGAGCUCAUCUAGAACAGGCCCAAGGCACCGUCUGACAGCUGAGAUUGAAACUGCUUGAAUUUUUACAUUUAAAAGUCUUACACCUCAACCUCGAUUAAGCCCUCUGAGUACACAGCGCCAAAAGCGUGUUAUAGUCAGGUAGAUUUGCAGGGAAAGGUUGGCUGUGCAGUGCUUGAAGGCUUUUAGAUGGCAGACAGGAAAGAGAUCUGUCGGUGGAGGGCACAAAAAAAACAGAUUCAGGAAGUUUGGUGUUAAAUGUUGAUGUGCACAAAAGCAAACUGCUUCAAAGGGAAAAGGGGGGAACAGGGACACAUACUUUAGCUUCAGAUCAAAAAAAUUUCCUCUGGAAAUAACAUGGCUACCAAUUUAAAAUAUGAAAUAUUUGAUCAUGUGUCAUACAUUAGGUAAAAAGAUGCAGCCAGGAGGCAGCUAAACUACUUUAGGAAAGUCUGGAAACAGGAAGGAGACCGUUGGCCCUGCUCUCCUUUCCAAGAAUUCCAACUACUACUUUUGCUAUGCAUUUACCAAACAUAUCCGGAUGAUAACUCAAAGCAUGUGCAGUUUGUAAUGAUACAAGUGGUAAAUUUGACACUUCAAAUAGUCCCUUUUUUUAGACAAUGGGUCCUUGCUUUCAAUCAGAAGGUCAUACAACAAACUUGUCAUAGUUUUGGACAGAAGAAAGAAAGCGUCACUCCAACCACUUCCUCAAGCGUAGUAUUCUACACUGUAUUGUUCUGAUUAGCAAUGCACAGAUUCCCUCUGAGUUCAUCCGUAUCCACAUAUAUACAUAAUCAUCCUGUAGGCUAUUAUUGCCUUUUAAAUUAAGAGGUGCUGUGCAAGCUUUCUUUAUUAUGUGUUGUACUGAUGUGAGUGUGUUCUUCAGUAAACACUUUUCUUUUAACGAUUACAGAGGCUGCUUUCAGUGUUUUAAAUGUUUCAGUGCUUGUAGUGUUGCAGCAAAUGUUGUGGACAAAUUUAAGUAGAAAAACUAAAAAGCUGCAGUUAUAAACAUGACAGAAAAGAGAAAACUCUCCAGAGAAAACGCAAUUACUCUGUUAGCUUCUGAAAAAAUGAAUGUAUAUACAGUUCUGGCUGAGCUCAGGAUUUAUCAGGAGGACAACUGCUUUACUCUGUAAAAACCUGGACUGUGCUUGUGAGACCUUUUAAGAUGUGUAGAACCAUACACUAAGGUUUUGCCUGAUGCUUUUAGCCUAAAGCUACAGUCAUUUUCCAGGUCCCAAUUAUUUAAUUAUUUAAUUAUUUAUAGCCAAUCCAUAUAAUGCCCACAAGCACACCUGGAGGUUUAUCCCUGAGCAUGUUAACACUGGGUUGAAUCCUUGUUGGAAAUAAAUUCUAAUAACAGGUCAAGCUGUGUAUCACUCUCACUGCACGUCUAUAACAAGCAGAAUCCCUGUGGAUGAUUUUAUGCCUUCUUCUGCCGUGUGAGGUAUGGAUUUUGUGAGCUUGACCGGCAGAGCAUAAAAGUUGCUUGUUUGGAACAAACAGGAAAUGGACAAUUAGAAAAUGGAGUUUUGCCAUGCCAGGCUGAGGGCUCACAGUGGAUGGAAAGAGGACACAUCCAAGCCUCCAGCAUCCUCCAGAAGCUGCCACACUGAUGCAGUGGCCUCAGACAAAAUGUUCAGAACACAUAAUUCUCUGGCCUCUCCAGUUUCCUGGCACUGAUGUGAGAAAGUGAAUGAUUCCCCUUAAAA